UCUCUAAACAGAAACUAGACUUUGCAGAACAGAGAAAAACUAAAUUUGGCUGACUCUGUACAUCUCCAGGGACCAUCCUUCCUCAUGUUAGUGGGGUCAGUAACAGUUCUUACCUCCGAGGAACUGAAAUGACUUUGCAAACACUUCCUACUUCUGCCACCAAAAUAAAUGCCGUUGUCCUUGAUCAGAUUUUUACAGAGGAGGAACCCAAGGCU
rnacentral:lncRNA from 1 species